rnacentral:rRNA from 1 species
CUAAUACCGCAUAAGAUUACAGUACCGCAUGAUACAGUGAUCAAAGGAGCAAUCCGCUGAAAGAUGGGCUCGCGUCCGAUUAGAUAGUUGGUGAGGUAACGGCUCACCAAGUCGACGAUCGGUAGCCGGACUGAGAGGUUGAACGGCCACAUUGGGACUGAGACACGGCCCAGACUCCUACGGGAGGCAGCAGUGGGGAAUAUUGCACAAUGGGCGAAAGCCUGAUGCAGCAACGCCGCGUGAGGGAAGACGGUUUUCGGAUUGUAAACCUCUGUUUUCGGUGACGAAUAAAUGACGGUAACCGAGUAGGAAGCCACGGCUAACUACGUGCCAGCAGCCGCGGUAAUACGUAGGUGGCAAGCGUUAUCCGGAAUUACUGGGUGUAAAGGGAGCGCAGGCGGGAUAGCAAGUCAGUUGUGAAAACUAUGGGCUCAACCCAUAGAUUGCAGUUGAAACUGUUAUUCUUGAGUGGAGUAGAGGCAAGCGGAAUUCCGAGUGUAGCGGUGAAAUGCGUAGAUAUUCGGAGGAACACCAGUGGCGAAGGCGGCUUGCUGGGCUCUAACUGACGCUGAGGCUCGAAAGUGUGGGGAGCAAACAGGAUUAGAUACCCUGGUAGCCCACACUGUAAAC